CUACGGGACGCUGCAGUCGAGAAUCUUCCGCAAUGGACGAAAGUCUGACGGAGCGACGCCGCGUGCGGGAUGAAGGCCUUCGGGUUGUAAACCGCUGUCAGUGGGGAGGAAAUGCAUCAGGGUUCUCCCUGGUGUUUGACCGAUCCGCAGAGGAAGCGCAGGCUAAGUUCGUGCCAGCAGCCGCGGUAACACGAACUGCGCGAACGUUAUUCGGAAUCACUGGGCUUAAAGAGUUCGUAGGCGGCCUUUCAAGUCGGGUGUGAAAUCCCUCGGCUCAACCGAGGAAUUGCGCCUGAUACUGUUGGGCUUGAGGGGGAUAGGGGUGAGCGGAACUGAUGGUGGAGCGGUGACAUGCGUUGAUAUCAUCAGGAACACCGGUGGCGAAGGCGGCUCACUGGAUCUCUUCUGACGCUGAGGAACGAAAGCUAGGGGAGCGAACGGGAUUAGAUACCCUUGUAGUC
rnacentral:rRNA from 1 species